AAACGGUGUUCGUCAGCCUUGGAAGUAACGUUAUUACUAAGGCUAUUUGGAACCAAACUAAUUUUCGGGGAUUGGCUACAUGGAUGCGAUGCAUUAACAAUUUCUUUAAAAACAUAGACACAAGAGGCACAAAAUAUCAUGAAUGCACCUGCCACGGGAAUCCAGAUAUAUUUCAACUGACCAUAAAUGACAUAGAAUCUUCAGUUGAGGGUGUAUACAGAUUGGAACUUAAGCUUCCAAACAGUGCACUGGAAAGCAAAAAUAUAACUGUUUAUGUUUUAAAUGACAUUAAUGCAAUUGGGAAGGACGAACUUAACUUCUUGCGCUAUAAAGAAUGUGACAACAUUGCAAAAGAAGCUCUUCGGAUUACGUUUGAAAGAUAUCUUCAUCA